ensembl:lncRNA
UUUUUUUUUUUUUUUUUCCAGUAAGCCCAAGUUGGUUUCUCUUGCUUCUAAAGAACUCUAAUUGAAAUUCCCACUUUACAGAUAAGGAGACUGAGGUGUGAAGAGGAGAGGUGAAUACUAAGGUGGAGCCAGGCCUGCAACCCAGGUCUCCUAUCUCCCGGCCCAAGCUUUUGCCUCCUACCACGUUGCCUACUGUGAGCAGUUGGGUCCCGAGGAAAAAGAAAAGCAGAGAGGAGUGUGAGUACAUACGCCUGAAGAUACGGGGUAUAGUGGUUCAUUGAGAGGUUUUGGAGUCAGCAGAUCUGAUCUUACCUGUUACAAAGAUUUGGACAAGUAAUUUCAUCUUCUCAAAGCCUAACUUCCCAGCUAUAACGUAAGAACAAGAGGACCUUCUUAUAGUAAACACAGACCCACAGGAACAGAGUGGGUGAGUAGAGCACUGGGUGGAUUUUAGCCUUCACAUACUCAUCUAUGGUUGGGUACCUUUGUGCAGUGAACAGUCUGGGCAACAGUACAUGACAGCCCUGGGAAUAAUGGUAAUACCUGCCUUAUAUGGAUGUCAUAAAAACUAAAGGAGAUAAAGUAUGUGAAGUUCUGAGCACAGUGCUUAACCAUUUAAUAAGUCUUCGAUAAACAGUAGCUAAGUAUUGUGACACCAUCACCCCAGGCUCAGUCUGGAAGGCUCUGGAAGGCAGUCUGUGGUAAAAUGCCAAGUCCCAAGCUCCCCACUUUCUCACCACCAACUCCCAAACCUCAUACUCUUUCCCGGAUGGCCUCAGUGUCCUGCCUCUCCCUCCAGAGUUCUGUGGGGUUGGCUGGACCACCAGGAACAGAGUUCUGGCAUUUUUCUAUCACAUCACAGCUUUCGGUUUGGUAAAAGCCCCUGAUAUAUCAGGGCCCAACUGGCAAGUCCCUCCUGCUCCAAAGUUCUGAAGGCUCCAGAGUCAAGCCCUGGCCCCCAGCCUCCUCCCUCAGACCUGAAGCCGAGCAUAGUAUAUUCAGGGGCCCAGCUGCAGCAGGUCCUGAAACCUGCUAUAGCAGCCCAAGCCUCCUCAGGCCUCCUCUUUCAUUUCUGAGCAGGCCCAAGCACCCAGCACCAAGAAUGGCUGGACUCAGGGACUCUGGGAGAGCCACGUGUGCCAGGCUAGUGCCUGCCAGCUCUUAGGCUGAUUUUACAAUGGCUCCAUUCACCAGGGAGAGGAGCUGGCCUGCCUGGAGCCCACGGGGUGAUGUUCCAGGCCCCAGGGGGGAUGGGUGGGAGGUUAGAAACUAAGAAAGGGGUUGCUAAGGCCGGGAGGGGUGAAGGUGCCCAGCCUCCACCACUACCACCACCUUAUGACAAGGUGACCACCUCACAACUGGGACCAUAGGGGAUCAGAUUCUCUGGGGCCCAGUGGGGACCAGUAAGUGCGGGGGCAGAUGGAGGGAAAGAGUUAGUCAUGGGUGUUGGGGGGCAGGGAGGCUGGGCCCUUAGCCCACGCUCUUGCUGGCAUCCGAAGGCCUGUAGCCAGGGGGUGACGUGGUCUUGAUCCUUGAAGCAGCCCUUCCAGUAACAACUGGGGCAUCCCAGCCAAGCAGCCUUUGCCUCUCCCCCUCCUCUCCAUGCCUGCUGCCCCAGGUCUCCAGGAUCUCUCAAAGAGACUUUCACCUACAAAUCUCUCUGUCCCCAUCAUUUCUCCCUUCUUCACUCACAAAGCCCAAGUUGAGUCCAAACUGCUGUGUCCUCAAAUUAAAGCCCUCACUGACUCCUCACUACCUAAAAGACCUUCACCUCGGUGUUCAGGCUGCCAUCUUGCCCACUCAGCAUCCAUUCCUUUUCCAUACGAGCUCCAAAUCUCUCUAUUUCUGGGGAAGCACCUGGGCCCCCACUCUCAGUCCAUAUGUUUUGAGUGGAGCUCAGGCCUAGAAUGUGACCCC